CCGAGUUAGCCAAACUCCCAACCCCUUGUGAAGUAUACCUUAAAUUGUUGCUUCGGCGGGACUUCGCUCCCUCCGGGAGGGACGCCGGAGAACCUUCCUGAAAUCUUGUUUUAUAGUAUCUUCUGAGUAGCUUAUAAAUAAGUAAUCA
rnacentral:misc_RNA from 1 species